rnacentral:rRNA from 1 species
GACGAACGCUGGUGGCGUGCUUAACACAUGCAAGUCGAACGGAAAGGCCCUUCGGGGUACUCGAGUGGCGAACGGGUGAGUAACACGUGGGUGAUCUGCCCUGCACUUUGGGAUAAGCCUGGGAAACUGGGUCUAAUACCGAAUAGGACCACGCGCUUCAUGGUGUGUGGUGGAAAGCUUUUGCGGUGUGGGAUGGGCCCGCGGCCUAUCAGCUUGUUGGUGGGGUAAUGGCCUACCAAGGCGACGACGGGUAGCCGGCCUGAGAGGGUGACCGGCCACACUGGGACUGAGAUACGGCCCAGACUCCUACGGGAGGCAGCAGUGGGGAAUAUUGCACAAUGGGCGCAAGCCUGAUGCAGCGACGCCGCGUGAGGGAUGACGGCCUUCGGGUUGUAAACCUCUUUCAAUAGGGACGAAGCGCAAGUGACGGUACCUAUAGAAGAAGCACCGGCCAACUACGUG